rnacentral:lncRNA from 10 species
GAGGGAGUCAUGGGAAUCUCAACUUGAAGCCAGUCGAUCAGAACUUCCGGAAGCCCAGACUUGAGACCGGGCUUAAUAUACACAAGGCCAUAGAGCUAGACCCAGGCCAUGGAGGAGCAUGGAGGACCGCAAUUCUAAAAGCUUUGCCAGCUUAAAAGUAAGUGCAUCCAGGAAGCAGCUGAAACUUCACGCAGAUUUGUGGAUAUAGACAUGAAGGGAAUAUGGCUUCCUUUGUAGUGAGUUCUGUCUGCAGAUGGACACUCAAACCAUGAAAAGCUCAGCCUACGCCGGGCAGUCGACAUCGUGGCUCCGGCCAGCAAUUCUUCCACUAGAUUUAAUGAGAGCGUGGAAGUCCCUGAACAACCUGAAGGCACAUUUGAGGAGAAGCACACACUCAGUCAGGGAAUGGAGCCAGAAUUUCAUCUGCUUGAGAUGGAAGUGAAGAAAUUUCUGGAGACUGGAGUGGAUUAUAGGAGAAAGUACCAGGGUUUAGCCUGUGCU